rnacentral:rRNA from 1 species
GACGAACGCUGGCGGCGUGCCUAAUACAUGCAAGUCGAGCGGACCUCUUCGGAGAUCAGCGGCGGACGGGUGAGUAACACGUGGGCAACCUGCCUGUAAGACUGGGAUAACACCGGGAAACCGGUGCUAAUACCGGAUAAUCCUUUUCCUCACAUGAGGGGAAGCUGAAAGACGGUUUCGGCUGUCACUUACAGAUGGGCCCGCGGCGCAUUAGCUAGUUGGUGGGGUAACGGCCCACCAAGGCGACGAUGCGUAGCCGACCUGAGAGGGUGGUCGGCCAAACGGGGGAGGAGACACGGCCCAGACGCUUGCGGGGGGCAGCAGUAGGGAAUCGUCCGAAAUGGACGAAAGUCUGACGGAGCAACGCCGCGUGAGCGAAGAAGGCCUUCGGGUCGUAAAGCUCUGUUGUCAGGGAAGAACACGUACCGGAGUAACUGCCGGCACCUUGGCGGUACCUGACCAGAAAGCCGCGGCUAACUGCGUGCCAGCAGCCGCCGUAACAC